rnacentral:misc_RNA from 1 species
ACAAACUUGGUCAUUUAGAGGAAGUAAAAGUCGUAACAAGGUAACCGUAGGUGAACCUGCGGUUGGAUCAUUAAAAAUUUUAAUUUAGUCUCUGGAUUUAAUAUUUUUUUUUUUUUUAUUAUCUCCAUGAUGGCUAUAUUUAACACCUGUGCACUUGAAUGUAUCUUGGGUUUGUACUAAUAAUACUUGCCCAAAAUUGAUAAAAAAAAACCCCUAUUGAUUAUGUCUGAAAAAUUUUAUAUUAAAAUAUAAACAACUUUUGACAACGGAUCUCUAGGCUCUCGCAUCGAUGAAGAACGCAGC